rnacentral:lncRNA from 1 species
GCCCCCCGCACUGGGGGCCGCCAUCGCCGUGCUGCGUCAGGAGCGAUCAGGAUCUCUCACCAAGGCACAAUGUCUGCUGGAAGCGUACGUAUUCUGCGCGCCAUCUAUCGACCGAACCGACAAUUUCUCAUCCGAUUUAAACCUCCUACAAAAAUGGCUGGACGAACAGCGAGCAACUGCUCUGAAGACAUUAUUAUCACCUUGUGGGGACAAUAUAAUGGGGAAGGGAACAACCUCAGGGGAAGGGAACACCCACAUGGGGAAGGGGACUAGUUUCUGCUGCGGCGACGAGGCGUUGUGCGACGUGGUGCCGCUAGAGGGCGCCGAUGGACGCCAGUUUACAAAAUGCGUCCGCGUGGACGACAAAUUCCGGCUCAUGUUCCUGGUCCGGACCAACGCUAGCAGCCUGGCGCAGUCCCUGGCUCUCAUUAAUGCUUGAAUUCUUAGGAUAUUUACAUUAAAUUUUUAUAAUAUUUGCAGAAAAUGUUACAAUAAUUGCAUAUAUUUCAUAGUACUUGCAGGACUUUUCAGGAUUUUUGCAUAUGUUUUGAUAACGUUUGCAUUAAACUUUCCUAAUAUUUGCGGAAAAUGUCACAAUAUUUGCAUAUGUUAUGAUAAUGUUCAAAUAAAUCAUGAUAUAAAUUGCAUACAUUAUGAUAUAUUCAUAAAAUGUGAUGAUGAAUUUUGAUAAUGUUCUCGUUUUCUUCUGCUUUUAUAAAUAACAUAAUAUUUUAGUAGGGUCAGUUACGGAGAUUUGUCGUCGAUACAGGACAUCUCAGAAUUUGUACAGCCAGCUAGGGCUCGAACUCGCAAGUCAAUGCUCAAAUCUUGGUUAUUAAAUCACUUGGUUCCCUGUCAAAUUGAACUGCAUAUGUUGCUGGCGUAAAUUAUACAGUCUGUAUACUGUAUACAGUCUACAUUAUAUUAUACUGUUAUACAGUCUGACUGUUACAGUCUACAUUAUAUUAUAUUUAGCUUCAAUCUUUAAUUUUCAUAUUUUCAAAGUCGAUUUAAAUGUUAGAAGCACAUGUUAAUAUAUUUUAACAUGUAUUUCAUCAUCUGCAUAUCUACGUUGAAAAAAGA